rnacentral:rRNA from 1 species
UACGUAGGGGGCUAGCGUUGUCCGGAAUCAUUGGGCGUAAAGCGCGUGUAGGCGGUCCGGUAAGUCCGCUGUGAAAGUCGGGGGCUCAACCCUCGGAUGCCGGUGGAUACUGUCGGGCUUGAGUACGGAAGAGGCGAGUGGAAUUCCUGGUGUAGCGGUGAAAUGCGCAGAUAUCAGGAGGAACGACCGGUGGCGAAGGCGGUCUGCUGGGGUAAUGCUGACACUGAUGCGCGACAGCGUGGGGAGCAAACAGG